GGAUUUUGGAAAUCCGUCUCUAAGCUUAGAGACGGAUUUUGGAAAUCCGUCUCUAAUCUUAGAGACGGAUUUUGAAAAUCUGUCUCUAAUCUUAGAGACGGAUUUUGAAAAUCCGUCUCUAAGUUUAGAGACGGAUUUUGAAAAUCCGUCUCUAAGUUUAGAGACGGAUUUCCAAAAUCC
rnacentral:pre_miRNA from 1 species